GCAAGCAAUGCUUUAGCAAUACUAAAAUUGGAACAAUACAGAGAAGGUUAGCAUCGCCCCAGCACAAGGAUGACAUGCAAAUUUGUGAAGCGUUCCAUAUUUUU